rnacentral:rRNA from 1 species
UACGUAGGUGGCGAGCGUUAUCCGGAAUGAUUGGGCGUAAAGGGUGCGUAGGUGGUUUCUUAAGUCAGAGGUGAAAGGCUACGGCUCAACCGUAGUAAGCCUUUGAAACUGGGAAACUUGAGUGCAGGAGAGGAGAGUGGAAUUCCUAGUGUAGCGGUGAAAUGCGUAGAUAUAUGGAAGAACACCAGUGGCGAAGGCGGCUGUCUGGUCUGUAACUGACGCUGAGGCUCGAAAGUAUGGGUAGCAAACAGG